CCUACGGGUGGCUGCAGUGAGGAAUAUUGGUCAAUGGACGGGAGUCUGAACCAGCCAAGUAGCGUGAAGGAUGACUGCCCUAUGGGUUGUAAACUUCUUUUAUAUGGGAAUAAAAUGCUCCACGUGUGGGGUUUUGUAUGUACCAUAUGAAUAAGCAUCGGCUAAUUCCGUGCCAGCAGCCGCGGUAAUACGGAGGAUCCGAGCGUUAUCCGGAUUUAUUGGGUUUAAAGGGAGCGUAGGGGGAUUUUUAAGUCAGUUGUGAAAGUUUGCGGCUCAACCGUAACAGUGCAGUUGAAACUGGGAGUCUUGAGUACGGUAGAGGUAGGCGGAAUUCGUGGUGUAGCGGUGAAAUGCUUAGAUAUCACGAAGAACUCCGAUUGCGAAGGCAGUUUACCGGACUAAAACUGACGCUGAGGCUCGAAAGUGCGGGUAUCAAACAGGAUUAGAUACCCGGGUAGUC
rnacentral:rRNA from 1 species